rnacentral:piRNA from 1 species
UGGGUGAUCUGGUAAAUGGGCUCUGGCA